CAUUUCCUAGUGUUCGUAGAAAUAUUCUUCAACUAAUUUGAGCGUCCCCAAAGGUCAAUGCGCCAGUGCCCUUUAGCCACUUCACUUCUAAUAAAGCACAGCCAUUGGAAACGCCACCUGAUCAUUAUCGAAUGAUUAUGGCCAAUUACCUACCACUUGUGCCUGGCUAGGAAAUUCAGGACUGUAUCGUAAAUAAGCAAGGCCAGAAUCCAUGUGUCCAGACGAGCUCAGCGGCCAAUUCAAGUCAAAAACCAAUUGAAGCCAAGUGAUUGCCAUGGCUCAUCAUUUUAUGGGCCAGGCCUGGAUGGCUAUCCGGACAUCGACCAUCAGGCAGUCUCCAGGGACUCAUGGACAUUUUGCUAAUGAAAAUGUUUAUUCAAAUUUGCGUCAAUGGAUGUGUUUACACGAAUGAAAUGACCAUCAAUCUACAUAAAUAAGCUUUGGAUGGUGCUCCAAAUGACCAAGGCUGGACGGGUGUUCUAUGGAUCGAUUUCCCUAUCGAUUGACUCAUCCCCAGAGUUGAAGGCGCAGAAACAGGACAUAUUCCUUGGGUACUUUGCUCUAAAGUUAAGCUGAAGUCACUUGUUAAGCGGUAAUCCCUCCUUUAGAAUGGCUUUUGAUCAAGCAACAGGCGAAAGACCAUGGGGAGGUCAGCGCCAGAGCUGCGAGAGGAUGUCCCGGCAUGAAGCGUCGGCCGACGGAUACAGAACAUUAGUCAAGUGCAACAGUUUUCAAAUAAACAUAAAUUGAACAUGCUGAGCCAGCGGAGGCAACAGUCGGGUCCUUGGCUUGGGACGCAGAUGCACCAUUCCCGCGCCCCCUGCCUGGUGUCGUAAUUAAAGCCAGUCGCGCAAUAACGAAGAGGAAUGUUCGUUGCCAGCCAGCGGCGACCAACAAGAAGAGGAUGCGACUCUAAUUUAUUUGUUUUUCUCACUUGACUUUUAUUUACACGUGCAUUGGCAUGCGAGUGGCGUGGCCUAGCGUGGCGUGGAGGGGAAUGGA